rfam:Ovis aries breed Texel chromosome 18, whole genome shotgun sequence.
UCCCUGGUGGUCCAGUGGCUAAGACUCUGUGCUCCCCAUGCAGGGGGCCAGGGUUCGAUCCCUGGUUAGGGAA